GAAACACAUUCAUUAACCUAAAACAUUUCUGCUUCAUCAUGUUCUCUCUUCAGCCGCAGCUUCCUCGCUGGUGGUGGUUGCUAUCGCGGCGGUGUCACAUGGGUUGUGGCUGGCUUCACCACCGCGCCGUGUUCCAGCUUCUGGGCCUCCUCAACCGAAGUUUCUCCUCCGCCUCAAACGAAUCAUCUGCUGCAAGGCCCCCUCCCCCUCCCCCGCCGCCGCAAGCCUUGUUUAUUCCGACCAGAAGCACUUCAAAUCCAAGUGCUCCUCUUUUUAUUCCGCUACAUUGCACCUAUCACAACACCUUAGUAAUAGUACCUGAGCAUCUCUUCGUGGUUUUCAAAGUUUACUUCAUCAUUUUUCCUUCUUUUAGAUAAAAGACAAAGCAUAUUGCUUUAUGAUGUGUUUGUUUAGAUUUACAAUGUUUCUAAUUUUGUUUUAGACAUUGUUUCUUCUAGAGUUUAUGGUGAGGAAGAACACGCAUGCCUUGUGAAUGAUAAAAGUUCACUUAUUUCACUUAUUGUUUCUGACCCAGAAAAUUCUCUAGAGAAUUGGAAAUCCAAGGGUGUUCAUGUUUGUGAUUGGUCUGGUAUCAAAUGCAACAAUGCCAGUGACAGGAUCAUAGAGAUUGAUCUCAGUGGAAGGUCACUAGGAGGCACCAUUUCCCCUGCUCUUGCUAACCUCUCUUCCUUGCAAAUUCUUGAUCUUUCUGGGUUUUUUUUGGUGGGUCACAUUCAUAAAGAGCUAGGAAAUUUAGUUCACCUUGAACAACUCAGUUUAUCAGGGAAUUUUCUUGAAGGAAGCAUUCCCUCUGAGUUUGGUUCACUUCACAACUUGUACUACCUUGACAUGGGAAGCAACCAUCUUGAGGGAGAGAUUCCCCCAUCACUUUUCCACAAUGUGACUUCAUUGAGUUACAUAGACCUUUCUAAUAACUCUUUUCCAUAUAUUUUUAAUUUAACUUCUUUUUCUACCUCUUAAGGUUCCAAAGUAUUGUUAUUUUAGGUUCCAAAGUAAUUUCUUUUGCAGUGUGAUUUUGUCUGCAAGUGGUGAUAAUUAAUUAUUUUCUACUGAUUGCUUGUGUUUGAUUUACCUCAGUUUCAGUGACUGAUCUGAGAUAGUUUUUGAACUCCUCUACACAGCUUUCUCUAGAUCCUACUUGAAUUGCACAACUAUCAUGGUUUUGUUAGUUACCUUGGAGAAGCUGCCUUCCAGAAGGGGUGAAUGUUGUUUGUGCUUUUUGCAGGUCUGCUGAGGAAACAACUGAACACUUAUUAUUCAUGUGCCCUCAACUGUUUAUGCAAUUGUCCUUUAUGAACUCACAGUGUCAGUAUGAUCACCAUAUCUGAUACGGUUGGGGAUCGGAUCAACACAAAAGCAUUUUCGAAUGUCAUCUUCUACCUCAACUCAUGCAAAAAAUAUUCACUUUUACGAGUCAUACAAUGCCAUCAGAUUAAAGAGACUUCUCCUGGAAGGGGUGGUUAUGUUAUAAACAUCUUUAUUGAAGUUUUCCAUCUUGAUUGAAGUUUCAAGAUCGAAAGUGCAAAGCUAAUGCGUGAAGAUUAUUAUGUAGAAUAGGAAAGUUUCUAUUGAAUAUGAAUUAUGUACUCUUAUUGAAUACACACUAUUGAACUUCAGUAGUUGCACAAUGAUGUAGCAAAAGUUUUGAUUGCAAUAAAAUGAGACUUGAAAUCUAA